GUGGGGAAUAUUGGACAAUGGGCGAAAGCCUGAUCCAGCCAUGCCGCGUGUGUGAAGAAGGUCUUCGGAUUGUAAAGCACUUUAAGUUGGGAGGAAGGGCAGUAAGUUAAUACCUUGCUGUUUUGACGUUACCGACAGAAUAAGCACCGGCUAACUUCGUGCCAGCAGCCGCGGUAAUACGAAGGGUGCAAGCGUUAAUCGGAAUUACUGGGCGUAAAGCGCGCGUAGGUGGUUUUGUAAGUUGGAGGUGAAAUCCCCGGGCUCAACCUGGGAACUGCCUCCAAAACUGCAUGACUAGAGUACGGUAGAGGGUAGUGGAAUUUCCUGUGUAGCGGUGAAAUGCGUAGAUAUAGGAAGGAACACCAGUGGCGAAGGCGACUACCUGGACUGAUACUGACACUGAGGUGCGAAAGCUAGGGCAGCGAACGGGAUUAGAAACCCUGGUAGUCC
rnacentral:rRNA from 1 species